rnacentral:tRNA from 1 species
CGUUGACGCCAGUGGUUGAUAAUGACACAUUGACACUUUGUCGUUUAGGUAUGUGGUUUAUUUAAAUUAAGUACUAUAGUCUUUCUAAUUAAAUAUAUCAAUAGUUUAUAAUUCAAAUUACUGAUAAGUAGUUCAAGAAUUUUUUCGAGUUCAAGAUUACAUUAUACUGUACAUUUUAGACCUAACCAGGUGCAGCUGGGAAAAAUGCAACCAUGUGCCCUCUUGCGGUAAUCGAACCUGCGGCUUUGGGAUUGAGUUGGAGCGCCUUAACCAUCUGAGAGCUGGACAAUUGGACUAUGUAUACCUGAGCUGGUUUCAGAAAAUGAGUAUGUUUAUGACAUUCAGUAUAUAGUUCAUAAUUUCCAGUGUUAAAUCCGUCUGACCGUGUAGCUCAGUUGGUAGAGCGUCGAUCUAGUAAUUCGAAGGUCGCGGGUUCAAGACCCAGCCGCAGACUUUAUCUUUCUGGUUACGCUGGGUAUGGAAAUUAUGAAAUACACACUCGAGAACAUUUUCUACUUAUCAUAUUACGGAGUGAACAAUAACACAACAUAACAUAACACUUGCAGAACUAGUAUUGUUCGAUGCUGAAUUAAUAUAAACGAGUAUGUUUAUGACAUUUAGUAUAUUGUUCAUAAUUUCCAGUUUUAAAUCCGUCUGACCGUGUAGCUCAGUUGGUAGAGCGUCGAUCUAGUAAUUCGAAGGUCGCGGGUUCAAGACCCAGCCGCGGCAGACUUUAUCUUUCUGCUUACGCUGGGUAUGGAAAUUAUGAAAUACAAACUGGAGAACACUUUCUACUUGUGGCCGAGGUCUUGAAAGUUUUCAACACCGAGGGCACAGUUUUUCUCAUCCGGACCGACGCUGCCGGUAAAUAACGUGUUUAUUUUUUAUCAGAUGUAAAAAUUAAAUUCAUUAAAAUCCCAGUGUUGCUUGCGAGCUACUUUGAGAUCAGCGCAGUUGUUUAUUUUUAAUGCGAGGUUGACAAAAAUUGAAGAGUUGAAACUUGAAAGAUAUAGAACAAGAAUACGAAAAUUCGAGAAAACUGGCAAGAAACAGACAAAAGGACGUAUAGUUUCAAUAAAAAUUUACAUGUAUGAAUAUGGUAGCAGUGAAGCUUUGGAUAAAAUUAAAAAGUUUUAAGCCUGGCUUUGACAAAUUCAGUUGCUUCUGACAACGACAGGUUCAUGUGAAGGUCCGACUCCAAAAGACAUAAAAACGAAUCUGUUUUGAUUUAAUCAACGUUUUUCUACUAAAAGGACAAUGGAAAAGGUAUGUUAUUUUUAUAUUUUUGUACUUUUUCUGGUCGUUUCACGAUAAUAUGCUUGAAAAAAGUGUUUCUAAACACAGACUUCUACGUUGUUUACAAUAUUUAUAUCAUGCAGUGAAAACUGUCUGACACAAAUGGAAGAGAAUAUAUUCGUGACUUGUUUUCACUGCUGCAGUUAAACCUUCUUCUAAAUGGAAAAACAUUGAUUUUACAAUAUCUGUUUAAGCUUUAAUUCUUUCGCUUUUAAGUGGCUGAAUACACGAGGAUUUAGAUAAAUGUAUUGUUUUCUCGGCGUAAGUUUUAUACAUGUCAAAUAACUUUCCGACUUUCAGUCGCAUUUCUCUCAAAAUAUUGUCAAUUCUGGUGUACAUCGUGCUUAUAGUAUGAAGUCUUUAGGGCUUGAUGCAAUUCAUUUUCGUAUUUUGACUAUUGCUAAGCUACGCUUUUCAAACGUUUUGGGCAUAUUUUUUCGUUUAAAAAUUGUUUCACUCCUCGAUUUUUGAAGCGAAAACCAAGAGCGGGCAGUUUCAUUUCACAGCGUGCAGUUGCGUUUCAGAGCGGGCAGUUGCAAAAAACCGGCCCGCUCUGAAAGGCUCCUAGCUCAGCCAAUGAUUGCUUCAUUCUGACUGCAUGAUAAAAAAUAUUAUCCCAUACGUGUGUUAAAAGCGGCUUUCUGAUUGGUUUAGAGCAGGUGAGCUUGUCGUCGAGCUCACCUGCUUUUUGCCGAACUCACCUGCUUUUCGCCCGAACUCACCCGCUAAACUGCUUACGUUGCAAUAACAAUAUUAAACAAAUAUGGCGGACAAGAUUUAGCCGAUAAACCUAAACUUUAAAGAACUUUUUUCGGUGACUAACAUACUGAGACUGAAGAAAAACCAAAGAAAAAAUGCAGUAAAGGUAAUGUAGACGUAGAUAAAGAAGUAUUUUCUUGCCCAGUGAUUUUUUUGGCCGGGAAAAUGUUCACAAAACAUCGACGAAUAUAUCGCGAAGAGCUACAAAUGUGUG